UUUAAAAAAGGAGAGAACCCAACGCGUCAGUGUGUUACCCCCUUCCCCAAGGCCCCAACACCCCCCUCAUUCGUGAAUGACAAACUCAGAAUCAGAAGCAAAGCUCAAAAAUCCUCCCAAACCAAAAUCCUAGCUUUUUCAACGGCUCUGCCGCCGCCGUCCGUGGUUGUCGGUGCCUCCGCGGCUUCCUCCUUCCCCACCCAGGCUCUCUCUUCUAGCUCGGCACGUCAUCCCUAUCCUUCCUGGCUUCUGUUCGAGUCUUGGAGCAGCUCGUCGUCGUGUCGCGUUCAUCUCGCCGGUCGCCGUCGUCUCGCCACUUGCCGUCCUGCUCUCCGUCAAAGGUGUCAGCCAACCCUAAAACUUCCCCACGGAUCUGCUCUGCCUCCUGCCGCAUUCUGUUUCUGUUUCUGCUUCUUAUUCUGCUUCCCUUCAGCCCUUCUGGCCUUGUUCUGCUUCUGGUAUGCGCUUGCCGUCACAGCAUCUACCAGUCGCUGCUCUCACUCGGUUCUGUAAAGGAGUUGGGAUCUUUCAUUUCUCGAUUUGAUCAUCACUAUGAGGAACACCUCAUGGGAGGAUUGAGAACUAUGGUUAGGGGGGGUAAAGAUAGCAGGUUGGAGGUUGAAUGUUUGAUCUGGCUUUGCUCCCUUUCAGAGCUUGAGAUUGAUAUGUUAAUUAGCUUGAAGUUGCUGAUCUUUCAGCGUGCAAAAACAAUAGGCUAUGCUGACCUGGCUAAGAAAUUCAACCUUAAGAUUAUUCGAGCCAUUGCUGUUGUUUUAAUGGAGCAUCUUAAGGAAGAGUUAAAAGAUUUAUUGCUUGUUGCAGAUACGGAUAAAUCUGCGUCUUUUUUGGAUGCUUGUAAACUAUUGAAAUGUUAUAAGGAGGGUACUACAACUAUUGAAGAGCUAAUUACAGACAUCGGUACUGAUAUACAAGCAUAUGUGAGGAGACCAUCAACGUACAAAAGAAAGGAGGAGAAAGAUGAAAGAAAAUAGUAAAAGAUUAAGGUGUUCUUGAUGACCUGAAACUUACAAGCUUACUUAUGGCAAAAGUUGAGUUCGACUUUUCUCAUUGGCGGAUGCACACUUUCUUUUUAUCCAAAUCCCAAUCGGAGUCUGCAAAACCAGUCAAGCGAAGGUUAUUAGAUUUAUGGAAAUGAAGAUUAAGAGAAAUGGUACCUACAAAGUAUUGAAGUAAGCACUUUAACGCAGUCCAGUGAUCUUCUAAUGGAUUUGAAAGGAAAUGAUUGAGCUUAUUCACUGUGAAUGUGAUAUCAACUCGUCUUAUCGUCACAUAUUGUAAUCCUCCAACCAACGACCUAAACAUAGUCGGAUCUUCAAAUGACAUGCUCCUUAAAGAUGUCAAGUGACACGAGGAAUUCAUAGUAGUAUUCCUGGCUUUACAUUCGAGCAUUCCGACUUUGGAUAGUAACUCUCGAAUGUACUUGGACUGGUUCGGGGAGAUAGAGAAGUCAGUGUGAUGAUUGACUUCAUUGCCGAGGAAGAAGUUUAGGUCACCAAGAUCUUUUAGGAGGAAAGUGGAGGUAGUUGGUUAAUAGUCUCUUGAAUCUCUUGAUCAUCACUUCCCGUGACAAGCAUAUCAUCUACAUGGAUGAGUGUGUAGGCGAUGAACUUGGAUGUUGAUUUGAUUAAGAGAGAGGGAUAUGAUUUUGUGCUCUCAAACCCAAAUUUUCAAAAUGUAGCAGUGAGGGUGAGAUACCAAGCACCCCGUGCUUGUUUUAAACCAUAGAUAGCUUUUGUGGAGCUCAUUUACUAAGUUAGGAUUCUCAUGAAUAAAGGCUAGAGGUUGCGCCAUGUAUUGAGUUUCAUAUAGAACUCCAUUGAGAAAGGCAUUAUGAAAGUCAUAUUGCCUAAUUCUCCAUCCUUUUGAGAGAACAAGAGUGAUAACUAAUCGAAUAGUGACUAGUUUGAUCACUCGCGAAAAGAUUUGAUCAUAAUUGACUCCAGCCAUUUGGUUAAAACCUUUUGCAACAAGACGAGAUUUGUGGCGUAAGACUUAACCCUUUGAAUUUUUCUUUAUAGUGACUAUUCGCUUGCACCCAAUUAUUUUUCCAUUGGGAGGUGGUUCUACCAAUGUCCAUGUCUUGUAAUUCAUUAGCGCUUUUUGUUCGACCAUCAUGGCUUUCUUCCAAUGUGGUGAGUUCGUGGCAGCAAGAAUGAACUUGGGAGGAGCUAAAGAAGAGUUUUUAAAUGACGAAGUAGUUGUUUAAAGGACUUUGGAUUUACUAUGGCCAGUCUUUGACCGUGUGAGCAUGGGAUGGUUGUUGUUUCAAGUUUGGACAGGUUAUUCUAGAGUAGUGGGUAUAUUUUUUAGAAGUUCAUCAGGAACAGGAUUAACGGAAAGUAAGGUCAAAGAGGGAGUUAUAGAAGAUAGUGGUAUGGCUGUGAUAGUUGGCAAAAAUUCAUGUUGACAAGCGUGACAUUGAGAAUUGGAUGUUGUGUCUAAUUGAAAAAGAUUAGAGUAUGAAAACUUGGUCUCAUCAAAGACCACGUCCUUGGAAACCAUAGUCUUCCCUUCUUUAGUGAGACAAAUAUAUCCAUUUUAAUGAGUAGAAUAACCCAAGAAAAGGCAAGGUUGUGAGUGCAUUUCAAGCUUGUUUGUGUUAUAUGGCUGACGGUGAGGAUGACAAAGGCACCUAAAAACUCGAAGAAGAGAAUAAUCUGGGACAAUUUGAAACAAUAGCUCAAAGAAGUGUUAGCAGAUGGCAUACGGUUAAUAAGAAAAAUUGCAGUAGAAAAAGCAUAGUCCCAAAAGGAUAGAGGGAGAGAGGAAGUAGCAAGGAGAGCUAGACCAGUUUCCACAAUAUGUCGAUGCUUCCGCUCUUCCAAACCGGUUUGUUGUGGUGUAUAGGGACAUGAAAGCCUAUUUGCAACGCCUUCUUAGUGCUGGAAUUUUGUAAUUCGUUUGAAGAGUACGGAUUGAAUAUCCCGUUUGGCGUUCCAUAUAUGCUUUGUAUUGCUUGAAAAACAAAGAACACUUGAGAUUUAUUAGUAAGUAAGUAGAUUGUGGUAUGGCAAGUAUAAACAUCUAUAAAAGAUACAUCGUAAUGAAAGCCUUGUUUAAAGACAAUUGAUGAAGGAUCCCAUACAUCUGAAACCACUAGUUGAAGAGGAUAAGAAUAAGAUGCAGUAGAUAAUUGAUAUGGCAAUUUAUGGGAUUUGGCCAUACAACAAUAUUGGCACUUGAAAUCAAUAUUUGAAUCUUUAUUAAUAGGUAAUUGACAUGUUGUAGUUAUGGAUUUUACAAUUGGAAGGCCAGGGUGGACAAGUCUUUUGUGGUAAACAUCUAAAAAAGUACAAGAAUUUGCUUACUCCGAAGGAAAAACUUUUUUGAUAGCCUGCGAUUUCACCAAGCAAUAGUCAGGCCAAAAAGAAAAAUAAACAUAGUUAUCGUGCGCAAACUUUGAUACACUUGCUAAAUUCUGAGUAAUAGAGGGUACAUAUAGCAAAUCAUAUAAGUUUUAGUGUUUAAACGUAGGAGAACUUAUUAAAACAGAUUUACCAAUUUUUUUAUCGGCAUUUCCGCAUCACUACCUAUAUACACUUGUUCUUGGCUACAGAUUGUAAGUAUUGCAGGAUGCCUCCAAGUCAAGAAAUU